rnacentral:sRNA from 1 species
AUGCGGGCCGUGUCAAUCGGACCCGAGGGUGCCGAAGAACGCAGGGAUUUUUCCGAUUUCUCCCUGUGGCCAACGAAACGGCAGUCGAGCUUCUUACCCCUCCGGCCC